rnacentral:ncRNA from 1 species
AUACUCUCCGGAUAUCGCUGCCAUUCAGCGAUCGGGCUUGGAAACCCGUCUA